rnacentral:rRNA from 1 species
AGAGUUUGAUCMUGGCUCAGAACGAACGCUGGCGGCGUGCUUAACACAUGCAAGUCGAACGCGAAAGGGACUUCGGUCCCGAGUAGAGUGGCGCACGGGUGAGUAACGCGUAAGUAAUCUACCCCUGUAUCUGGAAUAACCCACCGAAAGGUGAGCUAAUACCGGAUACGUUUAUCUUGAUGCGAAUGAUGAUAAAGAAAGGUGGCCUCUUCAUGAAAGCUACCGUACAGGGACGAGCUUGCGUACCAUUAGCUGGUUGGUAGGGUAAUGGCCUACCAAGGCGACGAUGGUUAGCGGGUCUGAGAGGAUGAUCCGCCACACUGGAACUGAAACACGGACCAGACUCCUACGGGAGGCAGCAGUGAGGAAUAUUGCGCAAUGGGGGCAACCCUGACGCAGCGACGCCGCGUGGACGAUGAAGGCCCUUGGGUCGUAAAAUCCUGUCAGAUGGAAAGAAAUGUACAGGUGUUAAUAUCGCCUGUAUUUGACGGUACCAUCAAAGGAAGCACCGGCUAACUCCGUGCCAGCAGCCGCGGUAAUA